rnacentral:rRNA from 1 species
GACGAACGCUGGCGGCGUGCUUAACACAUGCAAGUCGAACGGAAAGGCCCUGCUUUUGUAGGGUGCUCGAGUGGCGAACGGGUGAGUAACACGUGAGUAACCUGCCCUUGACUUUGGGAUAACUUCAGGAAACUGGGGCUAAUACCGGAUAGGAGCUCCUGCUGCAUGGUGGGGGUUGGAAAGUUUCGGCGGUUGGGGAUGGACUCGCGGCUUAUCAGCUUGUUGGUGGGGUAGUGGCUUACCAAGGCUUUGACGGGUAGCCGGCCUGAGAGGGUGACCGGCCACAUUGGGACUGAGAUACGGCCCAGACUCCUACGGGAGGCAGCAGUGGGGAAUAUUGCACAAUGGGCGGAAGCCUGAUGCAGCAACGCCGCGUACGGGAUGACGGCCUUCGGGUUGUAAACCGCUUUCGCCUGUGACGAAGCGUGAGUGACGGUAAUGGGUAAAGAAGCACCGGCUAACUACGUG